GAUGAACGCUGGCGGCGUGCCUAAUACAUGCAAGUCGAGCGAACAGACGAGGAGCUUGCUCCUCUGACGUUAGCGGCGGACGGGUGAGUAACACGUGGAUAACCUACCUAUAAGACUGGGAUAACUUCGGGAAACCGGAGCUAAUGCCGGAUAAUAUAUUGAACCGCAUGGUUCAAUAGUGAAAGACGGUUUUGCUGUCACUUAUAGAUGGAUCCGCGCCGCAUUAGCUAGUUGGUGAGGUAACGGCUUACCAAGGCAACGAUGCGUAGCCGACCUGAGAGGGUGAUCGGCCACACUGGAACUGAGACACGGUCCAGACUCCUACGGGAGGCAGCAGUAGGGAAUCUUCCGCAAUGGGCGAAAGCUUGACGGAGCAACGCCGCGUGAGUGAUGAAGGUCUUCGGAUCGUAAAACUCUGUUAUUAGGGAAGAACAAAUGUGUAAGUAACUAUGCACGUCUUGACGGUACCUAAUCAGAAAGCCACGGCUAACUACGUG
rnacentral:rRNA from 1 species